rnacentral:rRNA from 1 species
GUGGGGAAUCUUCCACAAUGGACGAAAGUCUGAUGGAGCAACGCCGCGUGAGUGAAGAAGGGUUUCGGCUCGUAAAGCUCUGUUGUCGGGGACGAAUGUGCAGUAUUUGAAUAAAGUAUUGCAAUGACGGUACCUGACGAGGAAGCCACGGCUAACUACGUGCCAGCAGCCGCGGUAAUACGUAGGUGGCAAGCGUUGUCCGGAAUUAUUGGGCGUAAAGGGAGCGCAGGCGGGAAGGUAAGUCGGUCUUAAAAGUGCGGGGCUCAACCCCGUGAGGGGAUCGAAACGAUCUUUCUUGAGUGCAGGAGAGGAAAGUGGAAUUCCUAGUGUAGCGGUGAAAUGCGUAGAUAUUAGGAGGAACACCAGUGGCGAAGGCGACUUUCUGGACUGUAACUGACGCUGAGGCUCGAAAGCCAGGGGAGCGAACGGGAUUAGAUACCCUAGUAGUCC